UGCAAGUCGAACGGUGAAGCCCUUCGGGGUGGAUCAGUGGCGAACGGGUGAGUAACACGUGGGCAAUCUGCCCUGCACUCUGGGACAAGCCCUGGAAACGGGGUCUAAUACCGGAUAUGACCUUCCUCCGCAUGGGGGUUGGUGGAAAGCUCCGGCGGUGCAGGAUGAGCCCGCGGCCUAUCAGCUUGUUGGUGGGGUAAUGGCCUACCAAGGCGACGACGGGUAGCCGGCCUGAGAGGGCGACCGGCCACACUGGGACUGAGACACGGCCCAGACUCCUACGGGAGGCAGCAGUGGGGAAUAUUGCACAAUGGGCGCAAGCCUGAUGCAGCGACGCCGCGUGAGGGAUGACGGCCUUCGGGUUGUAAACCUCUUUCAGCAGGGAAGAAGCGCAAGUGACGGUACCUGCAGAAGAAGCACCGGCUAACUACGUGCCAGCAGCCGCGGUAAUACGUAGGGUGCGAGCGUUGUCCGGAAUUAUUGGGCGUAAAGAGCUCGUAGGCGGCCUGUCGCGUCGGAUGUGAAAGCCCGGGGCUUAACCCCGGGUCUGCAUUCGAUACGGGCAGGCUAGAGUGUGGUAGGGGAGAUCGGAAUUCCUGGUGUAGCGGUGAAAUGCGCAGAUAUCA
rnacentral:rRNA from 1 species